rnacentral:rRNA from 1 species
UCCUGCCAGUAGUCAUAUGCUUGUCUCAAAGAUUAAGCCAUGCAUGUCUAAGUACAAGCUCGUCCCGAGCGAAACUGCGGAUGGCUCAUUAAAUCAGUUAUGGUUCAUUGGAUCGAGUCCCCCGACAUGGAUAACUGUGGUAAUUCUAGAGCUAAUACAUGCGUCCAAGCGCCGACUUCCAGAAGGCGUGCUUUUAUUAGGAACAAGACCAGCCCGGCCUCGGCCGGCAACACUGGUGAACUCUGGAUAACACAGCCGAUCGCACGGUCUUUGCACCGGCGACGGAUCCUUCGAAUGUCUGCCCUAUCAACUUUCGAUGGUACGUUAUGCGCCUACCAUGGUCGUCACGGGUAACGGAGAAUCAGGGUUCGAUUCCGGAGAGGGAGCCUGAGAAACGGCUACCACAUCCAAGGAAGGCAGCAGGCGCGCAAAUUACCCACUCCCGACACGGGGAGGUAGUGACGAAAAAUAACAAUACAGGACUCUUUCGAGGCCCUGUAAUUGGAAUGA